rnacentral:rRNA from 1 species
AGUGAACGCUGGCGGUAGGCCUAACACAUGCAAGUCGAACGGCAGCACAGUAAGAGCUUGCUCUUACGGGUGGCGAGUGGCGGACGGGUGAGGAAUACAUCGGAAUCUACUUUUUCGUGGGGGAUAACGUAGGGAAACUUACGCUAAUACCGCAUACGACCUACGGGUGAAAGCAGGGGAUCUUCGGACCUUGCGCGAAUGAAUGAGCCGAUGUCGGAUUAGCUAGUUGGCGGGGUAAAGGCCCACCAAGGCGACGAUCCGUAGCUGGUCUGAGAGGAUGAUCGGCCACACUGGAACUGAGACACGGUCCAGACUCCUACGGGAGGCAGCAGUGGGGAAUAUUGGACAAUGGGCGCAAGCCUGAUCCAGCCAUACCGCGUGGGUGAAGAAGGCCUUCGGGUUGUAAAGCCCUUUUGUUGGGAAAGAAAAGCAGCAGGUUAAUACCCCGCUGUUCUGACGGUACCCAAAGAAUAAGCACCGGCUAACUUCGUG